rnacentral:rRNA from 1 species
AACGAACGCUGGCGGCAUGCCUAACACAUGCAAGUCGAACGAGACCUUCGGGUCUAGUGGCGCACGGGUGCGUAACGCGUGGGAACCUGCCCUUAGGUUCGGAAUAACUCCCCGAAAGGGGUGCUAAUACCGGAUAAUGUCUUCGGACCAAAGAUUUAUCGCCUUUGGAUGGGCCCGCGUUGGAUUCGCUAGUUGGUAGGGUAAAAGCCUACCAAGGCGACGAUCCAUAGCUGGUCUGAGAGGAUGAUCAGCCACACUGGGACUGAGACACGGCCCAGACUCCUACGGGAGGCAGCAGUGGAGAGUAUUGGACAAUGGGCGAAAGCCUGAUCCAGCAAUGCCGCGUGAGUGAUGAAGGCCUUAGGGUUGUAAAGCUCUUUUACCCGGGAUGAUAAUGACAGUACCGGGAGAAUAAGCUCCGGCUAACUCCGUG